CUGAGCGCCGCUCAUGCAUGUGGAAUGAGGAUACACCGCAACUGCGUUGGCUGGUGCGAGAUUUCACCACACUUGCCUGUGGCCGCUCCUGUGGGAUAAGCUGAGACGGAAGCAUCCAGCAGUGGCUUUCACAUCUUUACCUGCCAUGAUGAAAAGUUGCAUAAGAUCUUCCCUGAUCUACAUGUAAUCAACAAAUUUGUCAAACUCCUGUGUGAUCUACAACCUUCACAAGUAGACAAAAUGAAGCUAAAGCAUACUAUCAAUCCUGUUCUUCUGCAGUUAAUACACUUGAUAAUAUUGGUAUACUCAUUUAUAACAUACAUUCCAUGGUAUAUACUAUCUGGCUCAAGACAGACUGUAGCAAAAUCAAAACAAAUUAAAGCUAAACCUGUGAAAAACAAACCUGGUAGUCCAUACAGGUCUGUUAACAGUUUGCAUUGCUUAGCUUCAGUUUUAUAUCCUGGAUGUGACACACUUGACAAAGUUUUCAAGUAUGCUAAAACUAAAUUUAAGGACAAAAAACUCUUAGGAACACGUGAAGUCCUAAAAGAGGAAGAUGAAAUCCAGCCCUCUGGAAAAGUUUUUAAAAAGGUCAUCCUUGGAAAAUACACUUGGCUCUCAUAUGAUGAAGUCUGUGUUAAAGCUACUAAUUUUGGAAAUGGCUUAGCAGUAUUGGGGCAGCAACCGAAGACUAACAUUGCCAUCUUCUGUGAGACUAGAGCAGAGUGGAUGAUUGUUGCACAGGCCUGCUUUAUGUGCAAUUACCAACUUGUUACGCUGUAUGCUACAUUAGGAGGCCCAGCAAUAGUACAUGGACUAAAUGAAAGUGAGGUGACAACCAUCAUUACUAGUAAAGAACUGAUGCAAACAAAAUUGAAGGAAAUUGUUUCUCAGGUUCCACUAUUGAGGCAUAUUAUUACUGUGGAUGGCAAACCAACAACAUGGUCAGAAUUCCCAAAGGGUAUCAUUGUUCACACUAUGGCUUCUGUGCAAGCAAUGGGGGCCAAGGCAGAUAAUGUAAGCAAACAGCAGGCCAGGCCUGUACCCUCAGAUAUUGCAGUAAUCAUGUAUACAAGUGGAUCAACAGGACUUCCAAAAGGAGUCAUGAUUUCUCAUUGCAACCUUAUUGCUGGUGUAACUGGGAUGGCUGAAAGAAUUCCUCAUUUGGGGGAAAAAGACAUUUAUAUUGGAUAUUUGCCUCUUGCUCAUGUUCUGGAAUUAUGUGCUGAACUUGUUUGUCUAUCUCAUGGAUGCCGUAUUGGCUACUCAUCACCCCAGACGUUAGCUGAUCAGUCCUCUAAAAUAAAGAAAGGAAGCAAAGGAGAUGUUACUAUCCUUAGACCUACGCUAAUGGCAUCUGUACCGGAGAUCAUGGAUCGGAUCUACAAAAAUGUCAUGAAUAAAGUGAAUGAAAUGUCCAGUUUCCAAAGGAAUCUGUUUAUAUUGGCCUACAAUUACAAAAUGGAACAGAUUUCAAAAGGCUAUACUACGCCACUUUGUGACAGCCUUAUUUUCCGGAAAGUACGAAUGCUGCUAGGUGGUAAAAUUCGCACCUUACUAUGUGGAGGAGCUCCACUUUCUGCUGCAACUCAGAGAUUUAUGAACAUCUGUUUCUGUUGCCCUGUGGGACAGGGAUAUGGACUAACUGAGUCAGCUGGGGCUGGAACAAUCACUGAAGUUUGGGACUACACUACAGGGAGAGUAGGGGCACCUUUGGUUUGCUGUGAAAUCAAAUUAAUGAACUGGGAAGAAGGUGGAUAUUAUAAUACUGAUAAACCAUAUCCUAGAGGUGAGAUUCUUAUUGGAGGCCAAAAUGUGACCAUGGGCUACUACAAAAACGAAGAACGAACCAAAAAAGAUUUCACUGUGGAUGAGAAUGGACAGAGGUGGCUCCAUACUGGAGACAUUGGGGAGUUCCAUGCAGAUGGAUGUCUAAAAAUAAUUGAUCGUAAGAAAGAUCUUGUAAAACUCCAGGCUGGAGAAUACGUCUCUCUUGGCAAAGUUGAGGCAGCUUUGAAGAAUCUGCCGCUGGUAGAUAAUAUUUGUGCAUAUGCAAGCAGUACAACCCAUUCCAGGCAUUAUUCUGAGAAUGUUGCCUGCACCCCCCCCCCGCACUGAGGACGACUGACUAGACCCAUCAGUGGAUGAGCAGAAGGAUGCCGAAGGGGAGCUGCCCCCUGAGAGCCUGUGAUUCUGGAAUCUGACUAUGGCCUGCUGGAAAGCCAGCCCAGUCAUGCCCUUCUACAACAGACCUUUGUUCGUGCCCUGCAUCGGCUGAGCCAGAAUCCUAGACACAAACACAGGCCAGGCCUGAAGAGUCAAAUCCCGUACAGGGAACUUCAGCUCCCCCUGCAAUAGCCAGAUCAUCAAGGACCAGCUGUGUGCUGCUGACAGACUGGUCAACCUGAAGGGGAGAAAAAAGAAGACUCAAGACAAGGUGUUUACAGAACUCAUGGCAGAGACACAAAGGAAAACCAGGCUGGCUGAGAGCUGGAGACUGUAUAUGAGGGAGGGAGAAAGAAGUGCAGCUGCCCCAGAGAUUGUGGCAGUGGGCAAGGACAGCGUUGCAGUGACCAGUGAAAGUAUGGCUGUGGCCAAGGACCGCAUCACCAUGGUGAAGGAGAGCAUGGAAAAAGACAGAGAGAUUCAGAGGCAACUCAUGGAUGCUCUCCUGAGACAGAACAUCCUCUUGGAAAAAUGUGCUUCUGCUAGGCCAGCAGGCCCUGCAGUCCCAUAAUUUGGGACCUAGUCAUGUUCUUCAGACUCUGGACAGCACUAACUCCUAAUGUCUGCAUCCCCACAGCAAUGCUUCCAGCAGUUCCCGUUCACCUCUCAAAUCCAACCUCGAGGCACUGAGACACUUGCACUUGGGAGUCCAGUUCUUUUGAGCCCUACAAUGCCUCUGAGAAUUUUGAGCCCAGGCACUCAACCUGAGAACCUACAUGGAUGAGAAGAGUGAGGGGCAAGGUGUAUACUUGCCUUUAACUUUCUGCAUCCCUCCUCCAAAUUGUUGCAUUUGAAAUUUCUUAUUGUUGCACUUGUUAAAGGGUUUUAUGCAGUUGGUUAUUUAAGAAGAUUGGUUAGUUAAGUAGGGUUCCCAAUACAAUUUUUUCCCAUUUGUUCCAUUAAAAGGUUUGUAUUUGGUGUUUUUAUU